rnacentral:rRNA from 1 species
UAGCCGCGGUAACACCAGCCCCGCGAGUGGUCGGGGUGAUUAUUGGGCCUAAAGCGCCCGUAGCCGGCCCGGCAAGUCCUCCCUUAAAGCCUCGGGCUCAACCCGAGGACGGGGAGGAUACUGCCGGGCUAGGGGGCGGGAGAGGCCGGCGGUACUCCCGGGGUAGGGGCGAAAUCCGUUAAUCCCGGGAGGACCACCAGUGGCGAAGGC